rnacentral:rRNA from 1 species
UACGGAGGGUGCGAGCGUUGUCCGGAAUCAUUGGGCGUAAAGGGCGCGUAGGUGGCCCGGUCAGUUCGUGGUGAAAGCGCGGGGCUCAACCCUGCGUCGGCCAUGAAUACUGCCGCGGCUGGAGCACUGUAGGGGCAGGCGGAAUUCCGGGUGUAGCGGUGGAAUGCGUAGAGAUCCGGAAGAACACCGGUGGCGAAGGCGGCCUGCUGGGCAGUUGCUGACACUGAGGCGCGACAGCGUGGGGAGCAAACAGG